CUCGCCCCCCACCCCCUGGCCGCGUUCAGGUUCUUUGUCUUUUUCGUGUGUUCGUUUUACCUUCCUUAUUCGUCUUUUUUUGUUCUCGCACUUAUUUUGUUGUUCUGAACCCCCGUAUGGCGCGUGGGUGGAGGAACAGGAGGAGAGAGAGGGAGAGCUGGCGCUGAACGGACAGAUGGGACAGGAGACAAGCAAAGGAUCGGAGGAAAAUGGAGAGCGAGAGGGAGAGAGAGAGAGAGAGGUAUGAAGGAGAUAGAGUACCGGCACUAGCUUGGGGGUGGGAGGGGGUGAGAAGGUGGAAGGGGCGGGGGGGGGGAGAGCAGGAGGUGGGUGUACGGUAUAGAGUAGGACGGAGGGAUGGCCGAAUUGGAAAUGUGAAAAAUCGCGGGAAAUAGGGAGGGAGAAAAAAACAUUGAAAAAGUGCAGCAGAACUGGAAAAAACUGGACUCCUCUUCAACUCCAAAACUUCCUGUGUUUUUUUGUUUUUUGGUGUGUGAGGCAUUUUUUUCAGCUUUUUUCUUCAUCACCCCUCCGGUCAUCCUCCCUGUUUUCAUCUGUUAAACCAGAACUUCCUCAAACACCUGAACCACAAAACACGAGACGGUCGCGGGUCCGCUCUGCUCUGCGCACACGUCUGAAAAACCACACGUCGGCGAGACUCGUGACAACGUUCCCACCACAGCCUUGCUGGAGUGGACCUCAAAGUGUCGAUUAUUUCCUACAAAGAUAUCUGUAUUAAAAGAGGCGUCACUCAUGUACAUACCAUACUAUACAGUGUGUGCGUUCACUUGGUGUUUGGACCUGGUUCUGGCAUGCUGGUUAGCGGAACAUUCUGGAUCCGCCCGCGUGCAUCAUUGUCCCUGAGACCCUUAACCUGUGAUGAUGUAAAGGUCACAGGUGAGGUCCUUGGGAACAAGGCUGCGUGUGAAACCCGUCUGAAAGCAGCUCUUAUUAGAGGACAGAAAGUGACACGUGACACAGAGGCUGUGUCCGCUACCCUUUAAUAACCGAUAGGUCUUAAAAUAUCAAGUCACGUAUAUAUAAAGCGUCUCAAGUUUUCUUCUGUGCGGCGUGCGCUCCAGGCAGGACGGUGAAAGAUGAGGGACUUGAACAAGAGCAUGUUGAUUGUCUGUGUUUAUACAAUAGGGACAGGGCUCUUUGAAUUUUACACUUCAUCAAAUGCCAAUGACACUAUAGCUAUAGCUGGAGGGGGCAGUUCCUGUCAGCUGGCUUUGUGGUCGUAAAUGUGACGAGUUUAAUGAGAAGUCAGCCAAAGGUUGUGACCCCGAUGUAGAUUGCAACUGGAUUCAUGUAGGUGCCUUAUUUAUUUUAUGUAUACUUUUUAAUGUUUUUAAUAAAUGAAUGAAGAUUUAUAUCAAUAUAAAUGUUUUGUUUAAUUUGAUCCAUUUCAUAUUGAUAUAUUGCCCAAUAAUAGGAUAAAAUGGACAUGUUUGAAUGCAUCUGUUGAAAUAUAACUGUUAAGGUGUGUUACAAAGGUGUGUUAAUAAACAAAUGAAUAUUAAAACGGUUUAUACAUUUAGAAAUACAAAUACAAAAUUUGAUAAAAUGUGUUUGUUUUAUUCAUGACAAAUUACUUAUUUACUUAUUAAUAAACCACACAACCACACCUUUUAUACCCAUGAAUACAAAUAAUAAUAAAACCUAUUAUUACUACAA